CGCUCAGUGCGCUCAAGAACACUAGCUCCACCGCCGCCGCCGCCGCCACCGCCAAAAAGAGCUCCGCUUCCUUCUUUUGCACGCCGCGAACCUUGGGUGGUGGGAUAUCCUCGAGCAUGAAGACUCGAAGUAUGCGCUGAGCUUGAGAGGCUGGGCUCUUGCACCGAACAACCAUUCUUUGGAUCAAGUAAGUGUUACGUUUUUCUUUUCUCUUCCUCUCCUUGUGUAUUGAAUUUGUGUUUGCUUUCUCUUGAAAUUCUUGCGGUUCUUUCUAUUUUGUCUUUGUUCUUUGCUUCAAGUCUCAAUCUCUGCUCUCGCUUUGUUAUGUCACACAAUUACUGACAAAAUGUCCCUGUUCCUUUCCUAGUUUCCAUCGUGGACGGGAAGGAGGACAGGUAGCUGGUCUUGUUGGAUGGAAUCAGGAAUCUCAUAUUGUGUUGCUCUUCUGUCAGAUCAGUCAAUCAGACGUUCUUCUCAAAUUGAUGUGCAACAAGACAGUAUGUCCAUGCAUCACUUCGAAGUUUCAGGUCUUGUCAUGGAAGGGAUAUCCGUUGUUUCCGUCUUCCUAGCCGGAGCUGGUCAUUUGGAUAGGCAUGUGUACUUUUCGAUGGGAGUGACACUAUGAAAUAGGUGUCAUGAGUUCGGAAGUUAUCGUCACCUUGAGGAAAAAAUCUUGAGCAGAUAAUGGCUGCCUCAACAGGAUAUCAAUGGUUUGACUUUUUGGUUCACCUGACAGGGAUUGAACCUGCUCCGGAAACAGACGUUCAUUUCCUAUCGACUUGUCAUUUGGGCCGACACUUGGCUCUGUAACCAGUUAUACACAUAGGAAAAGUGCUGGUGCUGCUUGCCGCAGCUCCGAUGGAGAUCUUCUUGCUGGGAGCUGGGAGCUGCUCGCUCAAGCGCAUGACAAGCCAACUUGUUGCAAUCCGGGCAUUUGCUAUCAGACUCCUCCGUUUAUCGGGGCUUGCUAUCCGUGAAUUUCAUGAACACCAUGACAAUGGUCCGCCAUCCUUACGGGGAAGGGUAACGCCGUGUAUAUAAGGGCAAUGUUGGGGAAGAGAAACGCGCCAGAGGCUGUCGCUGAUUUUCUGGGAACGGUGCGAGUUAAGCAGGAUCAAGUCAAAGGAAAGUUAACAGAGGUACGACAUACAGAGUGGCGACUGAGACCCGCGUCUAAGAUUGCUGCAUCGCAUUUUCUGUCCAGGGGCUGUGGCUAGUGUGGAAGUUUCAAGGUUACCAUACUUUGAAUCACUACAUGAAACAAAAGACAUUUCCAGAGAAUCUCUCAAAGCAACUUCUCGGAGACAGUGUAAGGUUGUACGCCUUGGCUAAUAUUAGAUGUUGGUAACAGGGUUGUUUUAGGCCACAAACAAGCGUUAUGGCUCUAUAAACCAACGACAAAAUGCUCUAAUUCUCCGAAUUAUAAUGACUCACUUGUUAUAUAACCUACAACAAAUCCAUAGAACCAGUAAGCAUGUUUGCCGCCGAAUGUCUUUUAGAUCUUGUUCUUACUUUAUCCCCAGGCGUUGUGCACUGUGAUGUAAAGCCAUUAAAUCUAAUUCUCGCUGGUGAUAUGGAUACUUUUAAGCUUGUCGACCUUGGCGCAUGUGUCAAUCUACGGUCGGUUACAAUUACGUAAGUGAUGAAUUUUUCGCAAAUCAUGCUUUUCAAAUGAAAAUCUCAAGUACAGGUUCCGAACGAAACAAUCAUGGACCCAGAUUAUGCACCUCCUGAGCAGUACGUCAUGCCGAGCUUGUAAGCCUGCGUGCUCUUCUUCUUGUUCGGUGUCGGAGCACUAUCUCUUGAUUAUAUCAUAGAAAAGUAAACAAGGUAAAAGGGAUGGAUUGAUUCACAGAGAUCACGAACGCUUUGGGCGGAAUUCUAAAUGGAGCGGCUGAUCGAGAUUCACCAUGAGUGGGCAAAUACGCGACCAUCUCCCAAGUCAAAAUGCGGGUGAAUACGUUUAGGAUCACGCCGAGGAAUCCCUGACUGCUAAACAAAUCCAAGGUAAAGGGGAUGGAUUGAUUCACAGAGAUCACGAACGCUUUGGGCGGAAUUCUAAAUGGAGCGGCUGAUCGAGAUUCACCACGAGUGGGCAAAUGCGCGACCAUCUCCCAAGUCAAAAUGCGGGUGAAUACGUUUAGGAUCACGCCGAGGAACCCCUGACUGCUAAACAAAUCCAAGGUAAAGGGGAUGGCAGAGAUCACGAGCGCUUUGGGCGGAAUUCUAAAUGGAGCGGCUCAUCGAGAUUCACCACUAGUGGGCAAAUACGCGACCAUCUCCCAAGUCAAAAAAGCUUGCCUGCCAGCUCGCACCACCUUUAAAUCUAAGCUCGUUUUUGUUGUAGAGACCAGCGUUCGUGGAAGAGUUUACUACAAUCGCAAUGGCCUUGAUCGCGUCCUUGACCAACAAAAUGUUGCUCGUCGCUGCUCUCAUGGCCGCAGUGGUGGUCGACUCCUCCAGGAUGAUCCAGCGUCUCGUUUUGCUCUCGCCACCAACGGGGCCUAAUCCGGGCGGGAACUCGAAGGAUGUGGACGAGGUGGCAAUGGAAUUCAUCUCUCCGCCAUCCGGUCCCAGCCCUGGUGGUAACGGUGGAUCGCGGUUUGAGGUCUCAAAGCCCCGGACGCCAUCUCCUCCGGCCGGUCCGAGCCGAGUCCACAAUGGAGAGGGUCAGUUCGUCGUCUCCAAGCCCCGCACAACGCCAUCUCCUCCGGCCGGUCCGAGCCCAGUCCACAAUGGAGGGGGCCAGUUCGUCGUCUCCAAGCCCCGCAUAACGCCAUCUCCUCCGGCCGGUCCGAGCCGAGUCCACAAUGGAGAGGGCCAGUUCGUCGUCUCCAAGCCCCGCACAACGCCAUCUCCUCCGGCCGGUCCCAGCCCAGUUCAUAGAAGGCCCGUUCGUCGUCUCCAAGCGCCAUCGCCUCCGUCCGGUCCCAGCCCCGUCCACGACGAGAUCGAUCUUCACUUGGUUCCAGCGGGUCCGAAUCCACUCCACAACUUUGGAACCGUGUUCCAUAGCGUUCCGGAGGGGCCAGAUCCAGUUGGAAACUAGGGUGGAGCUAUGGUCUUCUAUUGAUCUUUUCUUGCCAUUCAUGCUUGUUUCUUAAUCGUCGCCCAACACUUCGUUUUUUUCUGGCUCAAUUGCAUCCUCUCUUGGAUAAAUAUUGUAAUUACUUGCAAAGAAAUAGACAAUGCUGAAUUAAUCGCCCCAGUGUUCUUUGAGAUUGCUCUUCCUAGAUUCCAAAGCUGGCGCUAAUUUGUUCUCGGAAUUUCUGAACGAACGGCAAAGUUGGCGCUAAAUUUUAAAACAAACGAGAGGGAUAUUCGGCCCUUUGUGCUAGAUUUAGGGUUCUUUCAUGAGACAGUGGCUAUGGCGGAAUGCCGCUGCUGCGCGAGCUGGGAUAUUUGGCUGUCGAUCGGGGGGCCUCUCCAGCUGCGCUCUAUUCGGCGUUGAGAGCAGAGGUGCUUACGCGAUUUUCUUGCCCGGCGUCAAGACGCGACGCACAGCUUGAUCUUUGUGAGGCACAAGAAGCUCCGGCUCAGGCCUACGACGAACAAGGUUCUGGCGCUGGAGAAUGUGGCAAGUUGGAAGUAAGUUUCGAUGCUUUCGGGGCGUGUGGAGUUAGAUCUGAUUGAUUGAACUACGAUUUGUUCCAGAGCAGGCAGAAUGAAGUUCCGAAUGAAAGAACUAAAGCGCCUUAUGAUGUGCUCCCGAGAAGAACUAAGAUGCAAAGAGCACGGGACUUGGUGGAUGCAGUAAGUUCUUCUCUCUUUAUUUCUUCUGGAUCUUUCAAAACUUCGUGCACAGGUUUUGCCACUUCCCGAUGUCAAAGGGGAGAUUUGGGCCGCUUGCGAUACAUGGAUUGCCUGGGAGCUAAGAUUUCCUCUGCAUACAAUCGAGAUGGCCACUCACAGGCUCUUCCGGUUGAAACAAUGGCGCAGAGUUAUUCACGUAAGUUCUGUGAGUUCUCUGUUCUAUCUGACUGGAAAAACGUCACAGGUGAUCAAGUGGAUGUUUAGCAAAGGCCAUGGCUUUACAAUGAACACUUAUGGAUGUCUCCUCCGGGCUUUGGACAUUGAUGGCAGGGUGGACGAGGUUGAGCACAUCUGGCAUACUUUUGUGGUGACGAAACAAGAGAGCGUCCCUAGAGUUAUGUAUGCUCGAAUGAUCACGACGUAUGAUCGGCGAGCAUUGCCAGACAAAGCUAUCAAGGUAGGUAGACGAAACGUUUUGCGAUCGUGGUGGUGAUGGUGUUUGUUUUGUGGUCGUAGAUGUUUAAAGAGCUGGAGCUUUCAGGAACGAGGCCGGAUCCAGCGACAAUAAUCAAGAUCGGGAAGAUUUAUGAGAAGCUCGGUUUCACGAAUAAGACGGCGGAGCUACUCGAGAAGCACAAGCCAACGAAGACGUUCAUAUCGUUUAAGUUCAGGUGAGCCUUGUGAUUGGGCUUGGCGGAAGUUCUUACGCUUGUGAUCCUGCGGCUGCUCAGAACGAAGAGUCACAAAUUCAUGGGAGUCCCGGGCCAUGACAGGAGGCGACUAACUUCUUCGGAGAAACAGAAAAAGAGGAAACUUAGAGAACGUCUUGCUACGAUCAUAGACUUUAGCUGAGGCGAGCUUCUGGUCUUCUACUUUUUCUUCUUGAUCAGGGGCAAAUCUAAAAAAGUUUCUAUAGGUUUUUUUUUUCCGGCAGCACCCCGUUUUUAAGUCAUGGAAGUCCAAAUCCAUCCUUUAGCCGGCAGUGGUGCGAAAACAGUGGCGACAAGGAAUCACCGAGCUCGUGUGCAAGGAGAGCGGAGUGGUGGAGAUGAGGAAGAAGAAGCCGACGAGCGAUGCCGGGGACCCUCUGGCUUCCUUGUUUGCGCUCAGUGCGCUCAAGAACACUAGCGCCACCGCCGCCGCCGCCGCGGCCACGGCCAAAAAGAGCUCCGCUUCCUUCUUUUGCACGCCGCGAACCUUGGGUGGUGGGAUAUCCUCGAGCAUGAAGACUCGAAGUAUGCGCUGAGCUUUAGAGGCUGGGAUCUCGCACCAAACAACCAUUCUUUGGAUCAAGUAAGUGUUACGUUUUUCUUUUCUCUUCCUCUCCUUGCGUAUUGAAUUUGUGUUUGCUUUCUCUUGAAAUUCUUGCGGUUCUUUCUA
rnacentral:lncRNA from 1 species